GAGCCCCCGUCAAUUCCUUUGAGUUUCAGCCUUGCGACCAUACUCCCCAGGCGCUGUACUUAACACUUUCGCUACGUCCGAGAAGAUGUGGGGGUCCCCACGGACUAGUACAGAUCGUUUACAGCUAGGACUACCGGGGUAUCUAAUCCCGUUCGCUCCCCUAGCUUUCGUGCCUCAGCGUCAGAAGGAUCCCAGAGAGCCGCUUUCGCCACCGGUGUUCCUGAUAAUAUCAACGCAUUUCACCGCUCCACCAUCAGUUCCGCUCUCCUCUGAUCCCCUCAAGACUAGUGGUUUCAAACGCAAUUCCACGGUUGAGCCGUGGGCUUUCACAUCUGACCUACCAACCCGCCUACGCACCCUUUAAGCCCAGUGAUUCCGAAUAACGUUUGCACAGUUCGUAUUACCGCGGCUGCUGGCACGGACUUAGCCUGUGCUUCCUCCUAGGAUCGGUCAAAAUUUCCUCCCCUACGACAGCUGUUUACAACCCGAGGGCCUUCAUCCAGCACGCGGCGUCGCUCCGUCAGACUUUCGUCCAUUGCGGA
rnacentral:rRNA from 1 species